rnacentral:rRNA from 1 species
UAGGGAAUCUUCGGCAAUGGACGAAAGUCUGACCGAGCAACGCCGCGUGAGUGAAGAAGGUUUUCGGAUCGUAAAGCUCUGUUGUAAGAGAAGAACGGGUGUGAGAGUGGAAAGUUCACACUGUGACGGUAUCUUACCAGAAAGGGACGGCUAACUACGUGCCAGCAGCCGCGGUAAUACGUAGGUCCCGAGCGUUGUCCNGAUUUANUGGGCGUAAAGCGAGCGCAGGCGGUUAGAUAAGUCUGAAGUUAAAGGCUGUGGCUUAACCAUAGUACGCUUUGGAAACUGUUUAACUUGAGUGCAGAAGGGGAGAGUGGAAUUCCAUGUGUAGCGGUGAAAUGCGUAGAUAUAUGGAGGAACACCGGUGGCGAAAGCGGCUCUCUGGUCUGUAACUGACGCUGAGGCUCGAAAGCGUGGGGAGCAAACAGGAUUAGAUACCCUGGUAGUCCACGCCGUAAACGAUGAGUGCUAGGUGUUNGGNCCUUUCCGGGGCUCANUGCCGCAGCUAACGCAUUAAGCACUCCGCCUGGGGAGUACGACCGCAAGGUUG